rnacentral:rRNA from 1 species
UACGUAGGGGGCUAGCGUUGUCCGGAAUCAUUGGGCGUAAAGAGCGUGUAGGCGGUCCGGUAAGUCCGCUGUGAAAGUCGGGGGCUCAACCCUCGAAUGCCGGUGGAUACUGUCGGGCUAGAGUGCGGAAGAGGCGAGUGGAAUUCCUGGUGUAGCGGUGAAAUGCGUAGAUAUCCGGAGGAACACCGGUGGCGAAGGCGGGUCUCUGGGCCGUAACUGACGCUGAGGAGCGAAAGCAUGGGGAGCGAACAGG